AUCCAGCUGACAAGUCCCAAAUAGGACGAAAGAUGCAUCCUGGAU
rfam:Schistosoma mansoni strain Puerto Rico chromosome 1, complete genome